CCGCCCGGGGCUCAUCCGCGCGCCUUCGCCCGCCGCCGUCCUAACAGCGGGGUACGGGCUGGGGUUGGGUGGGGGAAACGGUGGCGCCGAGCUCAGGACUGAGCUAGAACUCGGGCGCAGAGCGACGCGGAAGGACCCAGCCUCUAGGUGUCUAAUGCCACUCUCGGGACCUGACUGAAAUAUCAGCUGACUGAGUUCCUGACCACAGAGACCACAGGAGAUACCACUGAUUCAGUUGUGUCCUCUGCAGAAGGCCAUGAAGAGUCCUAAUCACCAGCACCUCCUGGUUUUUACAGUGAAAUGAGGCACUAGGGCUAUUAGGCUCUGAUCCCAUUUGACUAAUGUCCCAUGAGAAGAGGAAAAUUGGCUACAGAGGUACAGGAAGAAGACCUCACAAUGGGGAUGUGCCUAUAAGUCAAGGGACACCAAGUCACCACCAGAAAGUAGGGGAGCGUUUGGAAGAGAUCUGUUGUUGAGAGCAUUCAGGUCAUGUUACAGGGUAGCACCAAAAAAUGAAUGCAGAUGUUGAUGAAUGAUGAUUGUCACAAGCCAUUGGGUUUUGGAUGGUAUGUCACACAGUACCAGCUAUCCACACAUUUAUCUAUCAGUAUAUAUGAUAUAACCUUAUGGCAUGUGCUUAUUCGACAUUUACUACCUGCGUAUAUGAACUGAUGAAUGAGAGGAAUGGCUGGGCCCAUCCCCAUGGAAACAAAGAUGGAGCUCAGCAAAUUAGGAGCACAACCUCAGGAACAGUGUGAGCUGCCACUGCCUGCCUGGGAACCAGAGUGAAAACCCACACGAUGAUGCAUUUCCUGAAAGCUAGGUCCUAGAAAAACAGGAAAGUUAGUGCCUAUGCGUUUUUAUGGGCACCCAACAUGAAGCUUUGGAGGAGGGAAAACUGAAAGGCAAACAAUGGGUAUCAAUUGUUAAGGGGGAAGCCCAUAUGCUUUUGCAUUCAAGCAAGACAUACAAUUGAGUGGAUAUUGAAGGCAUCUCAAUGUUGGUGAAAACACUAGAUGUCAACUUACUCCUGAGUUCCAGAAUUGUCUGCUGCUAAGUGCAGAGCCUCCAUGGGGGAAAAGAGCAAGGAAUGUAAAAUCAUAACCUUUUAGAAGAUUCAAGGCAUCAUGUAGAUGCUGAUUCAACCCUCAGCCUCCAGGCAGGUGAGCACACAGAUUAUUUUUUAAAUUUCUACUUACCCAAAGUGCACUCAAGUGCCAAAGGUUGGGAACUGACAUUUGAGCUUUAUUGAAAGGUCUCACGUCAUGGAGAAUAUGUGCUUUGAAUGAUGGAAUGCGCUGUCUCCUGCUAUAGGAACUUUGAGAGUAAAAAGAUGGUAAAUCAGAAGAGACAGAAACUUUCCCAAUAUUGUGCAGCAUUCAAACUCAGCUCGCCUGCCACCAAUCCCAGGUCUUUACUCUGAACUGUCUGCAACGGUGCUGCCUUGCUGUUGAAUCAGGAGAAAUGGUGAAUGAAUGCUGGGGUCCAGCUAGCUCAAAGGACAGUUGAAGGGUGUGUGUGUGUGUGGGGGGGGGUUUCUUGUACAGUUGCCCCACCUACCCAUUUGAUUUAUUCACCAUCUUCAAGUCACACAAACAACCUCGUCCUGUAGUGAAAGCCUUCUAAACGUAAAAACCAUCCUUGAUUCCUAAUCAUGCUGCUUCUGUAAGUCACAAAGUAACUUUUCCAUGUCCUUAAUUCUUUGCACACAUAUCCUUAUAUUUUUCUCAACACAUGUGUGCCUUUUUCCCCCCCACUAAAUUACAAGUGCAGUCUUGCUCUCUCAUUUUCUCAUUUAGAGCUUAGUCAUAUCUCUUCAAGUCUAUGAUGGGGUCCCACAGCUGCAAGAUUUUUAGAUUUUAUUAUUUAUUUAUUUAAAAUAUUUUAUUUUUAUGAGAGAGAGAGAGAGAGGGAGAGAAAGAGAGAAAGAGCACUGUUUCCUUCUGGUUUAUGGUUGGAUUGAGCCUGGGACUUCACAAUCUCAGGUAUGAGAGUCUUUUGUAGAACCAUUAUGCAUUAUUCUCCUUCCUUGUUUUUUUUUUUAAAUUUUUUAUACGUCUCUUUAUUUAUCUGUUAUAAAUCAAUUGGUGUGAUGAACUUGGUAAAAGAAAAAAAUAUAUAUAUAGUCAACUCAUAGCUGUGACCUUGAAGAACUAUGGUAGAGGGGCUGGGGUCACAAGACUUUAGUGGUGGGAAUGGUGUGGAAUUAUACUCCUAUUAUUUUAUAAUAUUAUGUCAUUAAUAAAAAUAAAAUGGUUGGUGUGUA